rnacentral:rRNA from 1 species
UACGGAGGGUGCGAGCGUUGUCCGGAAUCACUGGGCGUAAAGGGCGCGUAGGCGGCCCGGUAAGUGUGCGGUGAAAGCCCGGGGCUCAACCCCGGGUCGGCCGCGCAUACUGCCGCGGCUGGAGCACUGUAGGGGCGGACGGAAUUCCGGGUGUAGCGGUGGAAUGCGUAGAGAUCCGGAAGAACACCGGUGGCGAAGGCGGUCCGCUGGGCAGUGGCUGACGCUGAGGCGCGACAGCGUGGGGAGCAAACAGGAUUAGAUACCCCAGUAGUCC